rnacentral:rRNA from 1 species
AGACGAUGGGGAUGCGUUCCAUUAGAUAGUAGGCGGGGUAACGGCCCACCUAGUCAACGAUGGAUAGGGGUUCUGAGAGGAAGGUCCCCCACAUUGGAACUGAGACACGGUCCAAACUCNUACGGGAGGCAGCAGUGAGGAAUAUUGGUCAAUGGGCGAUGGCCUGAACCAGCCAAGUAGCGUGAAGGAUGACUGCCCUAUGGGUUGUAAACUUCUUUUAUAAAGGAAUAAAGUCGGGUAUGCAUACCCGUUUGCAUGUACUUUAUGAAUAAGGAUCGGCUAACUCCGUGCCAGCAGCCGCGGUAAUACGGAGGAUCCGAGCGUUAUCCGGAUUUAUUGGGUUUAAAGGGAGCGUAGAUGGAUGUUUAAGUCAGUUGUGAAAGUUUGCGGCUCAACCGUAAAAUUGCAGUUGAUACUGGAUGUCUUGAGUGCAGUUGAGGCAGGCGGAAUUCGUGGUGUAGCGGUGAAAUGCUUAGAUAUCACGA